UUAUGUUAAAUGGAACUUUAGAUGUGUAACGUUUUACAUUUUUAUUAUUUUUAAUGAACACUUAAUCACUUUAUACGUUUUUAUGUCGCCCUGUAUAGUGACGAGGUCAUUGACAGCAGCUAAUCUAUGAAGUGAUGAACUCCUCGCCAGAGACGCUCCACAGCCUUGAAUGGGGAAGCUUUGCCAUUUCUUUCGCUGGAAUCUUCAAUUGAAAACAUCAAGAUCAUUAACCUGUGUCAGCCUGGACAGACUUCUGUUUCAGUUCUGACUGCACCACACUAAUCUCUCUGCUUAUGUGGAUCACUGACUACUAUGUUCUCUGAAGCGGAUGCCCUUCCAGCCUCAACCCAUCUCUGGGAAACAUCCACACACACUCAUUCACUACAGACAAUUUUAGCCUACCCAAUUCACCUGUACCGCAUGUCUUUGGACAGUGGGGGAACCCGGAGCACCUGGAGGAAACCCAUGUAAACACAGGGAGAACAUGCACAGAGACGCCAACUGA